GUCUAGCAAUAGGGAUAGAAAUGGAAAUCCUUUUUUGCUGCGAAAACUUUCUUUUUAUGAAUUAAUAUCUUGCAAAAAAGAUUGGAAUGGAAAGCCCGGCCGGAA
rnacentral:sRNA from 1 species